rnacentral:rRNA from 1 species
CACGCCGUAAACGAUGAGCGCUAGGUGUUGGGGGUAUUGACCCCCCCAGUACCGCAGCUAACGCGUUAAGCGCUCCGCCUGGGGAGUACGGCCGCAAGGCUAAAACUCAAAGGAAUUGACGGGGGCCCGCACAAGCGGUGGAGUAUGUGGUUUAAUUCGAUGCAACGCGCAGAACCUUACCUGGUCUUGACAUGUCGAGAACCCUUCAGAGAUGAGGGGGUGCCUUCGGGAACUCGAACACAGGUGC